rnacentral:rRNA from 1 species
CCUACGGGUGGCUGCAGUGGGGAAUAUUGGGCAAUGGAGGCAACUCUGACCCAGCAACGCCGCGUGAAUGAUGAAGGUCUUCGGAUUGUAAAGUUCUGUGAUGGGGGAUGAACACAAUGACGGUACCCCAAUAGCAAGCCACGGCUAACUACGUGCCAGCAGCCGCGGUAAUACGUAGGGGGCAAGCGUUAUCCGGAAUGACUGGGCGUAAAGGGUGUGUAGGUGGUUUGAUAAGUUAGAUGUGUAAUACCCAGGGCUUAACUCGGGUGCUGCAUCUAAAACUGUUAGACUUGAGUACUGGAGAGGAUAGUGGAAUUCGUAGUGUAGCGGUGGAAUGCGUAGAUAUUAGGAGGAACAUCAGUGGCGAAGGCGACUAUCUGGACAGUAACUGACACUGAGGCACGAAAGCGUGGGGAGCAAACAGGAUUAGAUACCCUAGUAGUC